AUGGCGUCGGUUCCCCGCAUGAAGCUGGGCUCCCAGGGAAUGGAGGUCUCGGCGCAGGGCCUCGGCUGCAUGGGCAUGUCCGUCGCCUACGGUCCGCCCAAGCCCGACGCCGACAUGGUGGCGCUCAUCCACCACGCCGUCGCCGCCGGCGUCACCUUCCUCGACACCGCCGACGUCUACGGCCCUCACACCAACGAGAUCCUUCUCGGCAAGGCGCUGCAAGGCGGCGGCGUGAGGGAGAAGGUGGAUCUGGCCACCAAGUUUGGCGGCUUCUUGGGAGAGGAUGGGUGGAGUGUCCGCGGGGACCCGGCGUACGUGCGUGAGGCGUGCGAGGGCAGCCUCAAGCGGCUCGGCGUCGACUGCAUCGAUCUCUACUGCCAGCACCGCGUAGACACCAGGGUGCCCAUCGAGGUCACGAUUGGUGAGCUCAAGAAACUAGUCGAAGAAGGAAAGAUAAAGUACAUCGGAUUAUCCGAAGCAUCUGCAUCAACGAUCAGAAGGGCGCAUGCCGUUCAUCCUAUCACUUCAGUUCAGAUCGAAUGGUCACUAUGGAGUAGGGACGUGGAAGAGGACAUAAUUCCAACUUGCAGAGAACUUGGAAUUGGAAUCGUGUGUUACAGCCCACUUGGUAGAGGGUUCUUCUCUGUAGGAUCGAAAUUGGCUGACUCACUAUCAGACGACGACUUCCGCAAGAUUUUACCUAGAUUUCAGCCAAAGAAUCUUGAGAAGAAUGCCCUGAUAUUUGAGAGUGUUAACGCAAUGGCAACAAGAAAAGGGUGCACACCAUCACAACUUGCAUUGGCAUGGGUUCAUCAUCAGGGGAGCGAUGUUUGCCCCAUACCGGGCACGACAAAAAUGGAGAAUUUCAAUCAGAAUGUGGGAGCACUGUCUGUGAAGCUCACACCAGAGGAGAUGGCCGAACUCGAGUCUUACGCUGCCACAGGUGAUGUCCAUGGUGACCGAUACCCUCCAAUGAUGAAUACUUGGAAGGAUUCUGAGACCCCUCCAUUGUCCUCUUGGAAAGUUGAGUGCUGA
rnacentral:rRNA from 1 species